rnacentral:lncRNA from 1 species
CCCCGACACCCUCUUCUAGUUCGGAAGCGGGAGGGUGUCGAAGUUGGUUAACCGUCACAUUCGGCUUGUUCGUCGUGAUGAGAUGCAUAUGGAUGUGAAAGCGUGUGACUGCAUGCACAUGAAUGUGGAGUGCACGGAUGGUUGGAUGCGUGGAUGUUGACUUGUGAAAUAGAUGCGUUUGUGAUGCGGCGAUUGUAUGGUGCUGUAAGCAUUAAAAUCACGCCGGUGGUGUUCCACAAGGCGAUUGGGGGUCACGGUUGUCGUCUUUGAUGAAACUGGUUAGCAAGCAUGGCGAUCGUGUUCGAACGAGGCGGUUGCAUCGCGCGGCGGAGCACGGUGGGAGUGAACCUUGGUGCCUAGAGUUUGUGAAGGAUUGUGAUGUUGGGCGAUUUGUGGUAUGCACAACGUUAGGAAGGGUUUCGGUAAUCGGUUCCGGCACAGGUAUGAGCGACGGCAGACCUGCAGGUGCUCCAGAGGACCGAUGCAGGCACGUCGAAUGGGAGUGUUGUCUGGAGGCCUCACGAUUGGGCGUGGAAGGCUUUGUGAAAGUGCGAGGGAACCAUUAUUGUGUUCAGUCCCACACUGCUCUCUCUCUUCAACGGAGUAGUAGUACGUUGUGAAGCUACUUGAAUGACAUGUACGACGGCUUAUUUGCGUGGGAUCACUUGGGAAUUAGCAGAAGUAAUGGUCACCAUUCAACUCCCUGGUGUCCACUGGACUUUUGCCCUUUCUAGUCCGUAGGUGGUGUGUGCUUGGAGAUGGGCUCUUUGCAGACGCCGAAACCGAGCUUGAGGAGGGAGUGGGGUUCCCCUGCGUUAUGACUUUCAGAAGGGUAUUUUCUUCCGAGGACGCAUGUUUUGGCAGUAAUCGGCUUGAACGCAAAGGUUGUGCGCAUCUAAGAUGCCAUACCAAUUGCAAUCGUGAGCGGUGCGAAUCGGAGCUGGUUUGGGUGACGCGCAGGGCCGAUGAAGUUUUUGUAAGAACCAAUGCGAGGACAUGCUGACGGACGAGUGUGUGAGGAGAGUAAACAACAGUGACCAGUUCGCUUCCAUUUAUGGUUUGCACAAGUCCACGCGUGGACGAGUGCUUCGAUUCCGACACUCGCUGGCGUGAGACUUGUGACCAAAUCGAUGAGUGGAAGAGGGAGUGUCGGAGACCGUGCUCGAUCGGUAGCAUUAAUUAGGAUUUCUGCGUAGGAUGGGCCGAGGGAGGUGCAGAUCGCAAGAGGCUGACAUAUUGCUCGAAGUUUCUGGCCGAAGACCCACCAGACGCUACUGCUCUCCGUGCAUUCUGUGUCAUUUGUUGCGUGUUGUGUCGAGUGGUCCGGUCUCCCCCCUGUUGCAUUAAUUUGCGAAUCUUCCGUUCUAUCUCCUCCUUUCGGACACGCCGUUUGAUCUUCCCAUCGUCUCCAAGAUUCUGCGCUGGGUCGAUGGGUUCUCUCUCCAACUCGAUCGCUAGCUUCGCAGUGUCCACCAAGAAUCUGCGGUCAUGCCACGGCGUCAGAGCAUCAGUCCUGCAUGUGUUUGCAGGUGGGGGUUCCCGUACUGUGAUUGCUGGAUCCUCGCAGACCUGGCGGUUACGAAGAGUGACCCGAAAGUAGGACAUGCGUGAGACAUCGGAUCUCAGCGACUAACCUGUUGUUGAGGUUUUGGUCUGCCCAUAAGGGCCACGUAAGCAUUGGGACGCCUGCACACACGCUUUCCAGAGUGGAGUUCCAGCCGCAGUGGGUUGGGAAAACCCCGGUUGCAACAUGCCUCAGUAUUCGCAGCUGCGGCGCCCAUCUGGAGUAGCACAUACCUCUCCUCUUCGUCCUCUCUUCAAAUCCUGAUUCCAAGCAUAGGUGUGACUGUCAGGUGAGGAGACCAGUGUGCAUACGAGGGAGAGGAAGGAUCCGAUGAGCCAGGCGGCGCAUCGGGUGUAACUGACGUAUGUCGAGCGUCAGAUUUCAAUUCUAGUCUUGCAAGCGGCACUGAAACCUCGACGCUUGCAACGGACGGUACAAAACAUUCACCUGGGGGCAGGUAUUCCGCCAGCGAGGUCGAUGCCUCGGUGGCUUCGUGAGCAGGCAACGAAUCGGGAAGCCGUAAAAUCCACAAGAAAGGCUGGCCGCUGGCUUCAAGCUCCGAUGCCAACUCCAGCAGCUGCGGGGCUCCGUGAGUGGUGAAGCUCCCGAAGCUGACGUACAGAACUGAAGAGGGCUUCUGCGUGCUAAGCCAAAGAAUGCAAGGGUCCGUUUCCUCAUCCAAAUGCAGGUUCACGUCGUCCGUAAAGUAGGCCUCCGGUAGCAUUGGACCUAUGUCAAGCACAUGUUUCGCCUGCACAAGUGUCGUAGAGUUUCAUGUCACAAGCGGAGAAGUCAGGAUUUCUUGUCACAAUUCGCAGGUUCUGUGUGGGGCCCGAGAACCCAUGCGAGUAUGGAUUAUUCUCGAUUACCUAACCGUAUCCCACAUGAAAAGACGCAGGUGCCGAGGGAGGCUGACCUUCACGCCAGCACCAGUACCAAUCACUUCUUCCUGCAGUGCAACGAUGGCUCGCUUUUCGAGACCGUAGAAGCUGUUGGUCAAAACCACGUCCGCCAUGGCCAUUCGGUAGUCGUUGUAUUUCAUCCAUUUGUACGUUUCGGCACUUAGGAACAGUGAAGGAAGGUCUCGAGGCUGGAGUGGUGGCAAGCCGGGAAUGUCUGCAAUCGGAACGCUCUGAGUUUCUGGAGUGAGUGGAACUCGACCCUCUCGAGCGAGACGCUCCGACUGCCAACACAAGAACCCGGACUUCAAUGGGGUUGAUUUUCAGGCUGGGAUGCUUCGGAUGGCGUGAAGAAAAGCAAAGGACGAAGGUGUGCGGCCUCACCGCAACAAUGACAAAUAAAUCAUACCUGGAAAGUACACGAAAGAGCACUUACGGCCGAGACGUACAGCAAGUGCCUCUCGAUCUGUAGCCGCUCGGCUGCUUCUUGAGCCCAACACGACAUCAUGUCAUGCAACACACAGACGGGGAAAGCAGCGGUCGGCACGCCCCUCAAGAGCUGUGCGUUUGGGGAACUGAUAUCUGUAAUCAGCUCCAUCAGCAGCUUGACAGUUUUCUCUCUUUCAGCUUGCGUAUUUCGUUCCGCGAGAAGCUCGUGGGACGUGAGGUGCUUCGAGGCGUCUCCGAGCUCCAAGAACCUGAGAUGAUAGCUUGAAUGUGGGCUCCCAUCGCCGCGAACUAUCAGCUUGGAGAAGUGGCUGUCGGAGGCUACGAAGGUGACGGUGAUUCCUUCAGCUGCCAAGCUACUGGCAAACUGGAGGAAAGGGAUGAAAUGCCCCGCCGGGUCAAUAGGCACCAUGACGACGUGGGGGGAACCAUGUGACCCCAUAUCCUAAGAACACUCAGCUAGCAGAAACCUCCGAUGCUGGGCCGUGCCGGCAUGAACGAAACGAAAAUGUGCCCUACUUCGGAGGAACGCAACUCUUGUAUCCAAGUUGACGCUGGAUGGUGAGGAUAGGGAAGUGGGGGAUGGCAUGCCCAGCCACAAGGCGUAGGUUGGCGGUGACGUUGCCCUUCUUCAGAUCAAGCUGUGACGCGAGAUCGUCAGGUGGGCCACAUGCCAUUUGAAGGCCGAACUUAGUACGCGAGUUUUCCCGACACCUGCAAAUCGCACAUCAUGCAGGAGGUGGUGGGAAGUAGUGAAGUGGACGUUGAAACGGCCUCGGCGUCUCGGCUCGUGAAAAGUCGAUGUCGACGGAAACGCGCACCUGAGGAAGAACAGCUGCUAGCGCAAGAAUUAUUUUCUCUGAUGGUUUCCAACUACUGUCCAGGCUUGGUCGUGACGCUCAUGGCUUGGUCCUGCCAGCUCCAUCGCAGAGCUGUUUACUUUAAAUUGAUGGUGAUCCAAGGGUGACCAGAGUUGUUCAGUUAUACUGUUACGAGGGUGGCUCACCUGAAUAUUGUGUGCUGUUGUGUGCUAUUGAAGUACUUCAUGAACUGUAAUUCAUAUAUUUGCAUGAACUGUACCAUUUUAUUUAUUUAUUUAUUUAUUUAUUUUUAUUACUUUUAUGAAGAUUUUUUUUGUUUAUACAUAAAAACAAAGUAUGUCUAUUUUUAAUGAUUGAUUAGUUUCUUGAUUCUCAUAAAGCGGACUAAAACCAAUAAUUUGUGAAUUAGCUUGAAAUACAAAUACAAACAGACUUAUGUACAUUUUAUUAGUUUACUUCUAUCAUAUAGCAACUUCAAGUUAUGCAAAACAUUUUUUUGUUUUGUAGUAAGUUGGUUUACCCCUAACUAAUGCUUCCACCAAGUUUUAGAAAUUGUUAUAUUAUAAUUAUCUUUCACAUACCACCUAUGUGUAUAAUGAGUGUGUAACAUUUUAUUUUAUUUUAUUUUUAUUUUUUUUAAAAUUCAAUCCAUUGUAAGAUUUUAACUUUCCAACUCUAUUGACUUGUUUCCCUAAAUGUGGUGGUUUUUAAGAGUAGGGUACUUCUCAAAACCUAAGUCAAAACUAUAAAUUAUUUAGUUGAAAAUAAUAUGUAUAUAUAUAUAUAUAUAUAUAUAUAUAUAUUAUUAAAGAAUUAAUUCGUAGAUCAUAGCUUUUAAUAUAAAAGAAGUUUUUAUAAUUCCAAACAAGAAUACUUUCUAUUGAAUGAAGUAGUUAGUAUUUUUGGAUUUGUUAAACUGUAAAAUUAAGUAAGAAAUGCUAAUUGCCUUUGGUGAGAUAAUUUAACUAGAUAAUUUUAAACAAAGAAUCAAAUCUAUUCAUCUGGUUGAAUUUUAUUUAUUUAAGAUAUUAGCUAUUAUUUUUUAUUUAGUUUUUUUGGCAUUUGGAAUUAUUUUUUAUUGUUGAUGAUUCUUCUUAAAUGGAAAACAUCUUAAUAAAUUAUAUUCUAAAUAUACAUUUAAAUCUGCAUCUUUUUAUUAUUUAAAAAUUUAAAAUUACUGAAUAUAAUAAAUUACUUAUAUGAUAUUUUUUAAUAUAUAUAUAUAUGUUUUUCGCAAAGAUUAUAUGUUUGAAUAUUAGAAAAUAGAAAAAAAUAUAAUUUUUUUAAAGCUACAAACAUGAAUUCUUUUAAAAAACAUAUUAAAGGUUUAUAUGCUUGGAUAAAUUUAGCUUCAAAAUUAUACAAAUAAAUUAAACAUAUAUAGAAAUCAAGUAUUAGAACAAUAUUUGUAAUGUAUCAUUAACUGUUACUAAGACAAUUGGAUAACUCUCUUGCUACUAGUAAAUUUUUUAUAGGAUGUUGCUAGUGCCAUCACAAUUUUUUUUAAUACCACCUCAAUUUGCCCUAUACUUGGAUUAUACACCACAUUGCAAUUUACUAGAUGAGAGUAAUUAAAAGCUUAACAUCUGAAAAUUUUGGAUCAUAUGCAAAAUUACAUUCUUUUUUUUAACCAAAUUUUAUUAUUGGAAGUAUUUGUAAGUUUUACGUCUAUUAAAUUUAUUUAUUCUUGAAAAUAUAUAAGCUAAUAGUUUCAACUUGAUUGGUUAGAUUGAUUUAAUUUAAUACAAUUAACUUAAUUAACUAACUUAAUUCUAUAAAAUUACAAAGUUUUUAAAUUUAUUAAAAGAAGUAAAUAUUAUAAUUGAUAAUUUUAUUUAAAAACUCUUUAUUUAUAUAUAAUAGAAAUUCUAUAUUAAGCAUAUCAUUAAUAUUUUUAUUUUUAUUUUUUCAGAUGGAUAAAUGUUAAUUAGAAAUUUAAUUUAAUGAAGAAAAAUCAAGCAAGGACUUGAGUUAAUUGAGUCAAGUUAGCUAAUUAAAUUAACCUAUAUGAAUCACAUUAAUUCCAUGGUUGAGUCAAUCCAAUUAAUCAAAUCAAAGUUGAUAAUAAAUGAAAUAAGAUAUCAAGAAUAAGAUAGGCCUUAAAAUAAGAAUUUUUUGAUAUUAGAGAAGUAUUAGAAAAUAAAUAGAGAAGAAAAAAUAGAAAAAAAUUAAAAGAAAAGAAAUUAAGUAAGAAGUGGCAAUAUGAUUAUUAUAUUUCAACAAUUUAAAAGGUUGCUCCAAGAAGAUGAAGUCAAUGGAUGUUAUAAAAAUUCUAUAUAGUGUUCUUGAAACAAAUUAAUUAAAAAAUUUAAAUUUAAAUUUAUAAAAAAUAAUAAAAGAUAUUAGUUUAAGUAUAGGUAGUCUUAAUAGUUAAAAAAGGUAAAAAAAAGAUUUUAUGCUAUUAUUAGAAAAAUCAAUAUAUUAUAAUUUUGUUAAUAGUUUAAUUUGAUAUUUUAAAAUUAUAAAGAUUUUUAUUGUUUAAUUUAAAUUUAUUAUAAUGUUAGACAACAAAAAGAGUUGAAUAUCUUAAUACUUGAAUGAAUCAACAAUUUAUAUCAUAUAAAUAAAUAUAAGACCUUUAAUAAUUUUUACAAGAAGAAAUAUCAUAUCAUAUAUAUAUAUAUAUAUAUAUAUAUAUAUCCUUAAAAUAUAUUAUGAUAUUAUGAAUAUUCUUAUAUUCUUAAUAAUAGCAAAUAUACCUCUAAAUUUUUUGAUAAUAUUAAAUAUAUCCUUAAUUAUGAUACAAUAUCUCCAAUCUGAUAAAUGUACAAUUGUUUUUAUGGAUUUUAUUUUAUUUUAUUUUAUUUAUAUAUAUAUAUAUAUUUUUUAUAUUCUUGGGCAACUCAAGCUUACUUUCUUGAAGCCUCUUUGCUAUUCGUUCUUUGUCCCUGCAAUGCUUAGAUUCAUCCCCAUAGCACUCACAACCUACUCACUAUCUUAUCUCAUAGCACACUUAGUUUGAUUCCAAUGUACCUUUGAUGUUAUUUGCACAAUUUGGUGAUGUGUGUAUGUACAUGUACUAAUGAUACACACAUGUAUGUACUUCUAAUAUAGUUGAUACAUUGGAUUAGUAGCAUUGGAAUUGUAAAGAGAAGGUAGUGGAAAAAAUUGCUCUUGUAUAGAUUGAUAGUUUGUUUCUAGCUUACUUAACUUCUCUAGGAUUGAUAUUGGAGAGUAUUCUUUUGAUAUGUAUGCCUUCAUUGGCUGUAUAAAUUGAUGUGUAUACUUUCACCUUCAACUUAUAGAUUGCUCUUAAGAUGUAUUUAUUGCAGUAAGAAAUACACUUUGAAAUGUUGUUAAGCAUGAAAUAGAAAUUACAAUUUUUUCAUGAGUGGAUAUUAGACUAAACAAGGUAUUUACAAAUGUCUUCUAGUUAUUAGACAUCUAUAUUAUUUUAGUGGCAAUUUCCAUCAACAUAGAUUGGUAUUGACAAAGUUGUUUUGGAAGUAGCCAAUAUGAACUUACUAAAAGCAAAAAAUUGCAAGCUUUGUGCAAUCUUGUUGAUCUAGGGGUGAUUCUAGGUAGAAAAUAACCAUGGUUUAAUCCUAGUCAAAUUGAAAUAGGCGAUGUGUAAUUUUUUGCCAACACUCUCUAUUAUAUCAGUCAUUAUGUGGAAUAUCCCUUGCAUAUCACACAAUGUUUUUUUUUCUCUUUUGAGUACCUACUUUUAAUUGUAAUUAUGUCACUAUAUGAUGUUAUUAUAAAAAUAUCCAUCUCAAAGUUAUUGUGUUUUAUAUUGUAAGCUUUAUUAGAGAUUUUUCAGUGUUGCAUUGUGUUUUGGAUUGAUUUUGUCAAAAGAGUGUUCAAAGACAAAUUGUUUAAAGAUGAAUUGAUUGAUUCAUUGCUUUUUGGUCUCUUUGAUGUUAUGAUAUGUGAGAUUAUAUGGCCAAAGGUCAGUAGCAAAAAUAACUUGAUUUUGUUACUUUAAUUGAGGCCUGUAAGCAAAAGGUGGAGGAUCGAGGUUGAAGCGACUCUUAAAUGGCGUACGAUAAUUUUAUGCAAAUAGACACAUCUAAUUAUAUUUGCCACACUCACAAGAAUAGAUUUAAAGUUGCACCUAUGUAUUUGAGUUAUAACCUAAAUGAUUGUUGGCUAUCUUCAAGUUGUUUUGUUUUAUAGUUGUGGACAAGGUGAACACAUAAUCAUUGAGUUCAAUUGGUGGUCUUUUAAUACGUGUUGAAUUUUUGAUUUAUUCAUGUUCUAGUAGUUGUUAAUCGUAAUUAUGUAGACCAAUAGAUAAUGUUUUAUUUAUUUAUUUAUUUAUUUAUUUAUUUUAUUUGUAUGAUGUUAUCAUCUAUUAUUUAUUAUAAGAAAAGAAGUGUUGAUUUUCUUCAUGUUGGUAGACUUUCAAUAGAUUAAAACUUAUUCCUUUUUAGUUUAUUGUUGUCAUUUCCCAACUCAAGGAAGAUGACAAUGUAUUCUUCAAUGACAAUAUAGACAUUAAGUAUUUGGUAAUGGCCAUUUCAAAUCCUUUGAAAUAGACAUCUUUGGCAACAAUUUUUAUUUUAUUUUAUGAUAUUAUAGACUAAAUAUAUUUUUAAAGCCAUGUCAUAUUUUGUCAUCAUACAUGGGAUUGGAGAUUACUCUACCUUUGUUCUUUUGUCUUUUUGUAUAAAAGAAUAGGCUAUAAAGGUGAACAUUGUUUGAUGCUUGAAAUUAAUUGUCUUAUCUAUGUAUUUUUAGAGUGCAAGAAUAUUUUUGUUGAAUCUUGGUGUAUUAAUAUUGAUGAAAUAUAUUAUAAUAUAAAUUACUUUUGACUACAUUAUAAAUCAAGUAGUAGAAGAAUGUUUGUAAUGUAUCAUUAACAAAGGCUGAAGUGCUAUUGGAAGUUUCUAUACAAAUUUCACUCUAAUUUCAAAAAAUUAUAACUCUCUCUUUAUAACUCCAAUUCACCUAUUUCUUCCACCUAAAUUCUUAUCCAAAAAACAAAAAUUUUGAAUCCAACCUUCAAACUUUAACUACCUUGCCUUUCUUUGAAUGGUCUACCUUGCCUUGAAUAGCUUGCCCUAUAGUGGUUCCAAAUUCUAGUGUGGUUUGAGAUAACAUUUUAAAGCCCAUUAGGCAUGACUUUCAAUUAAUAGAAAUGAAGUUUUUUGUCACUCAUCUUAUCUAUCCACAUAGAAUUGUCUAGAAGUCAAAAUAUUAUACUUUUGACUUCAAAGGCCUUUUAAACUUCUUUCUAAUAAAUCCUACAACUUCUAUCUUUAAUUGCAAAACUUAUAUUACAAACUUAAAUAAAUUAGAAAAAAUAAUUUAUUAUAUUUAUUAUAUUUUUAUUUUUAUUCUAUUUUAUUUUUAAUUACAUUUCAAACUUUCAUAACAUUUCACAUUAUUUUUACAUUAUAUUUCACAUUUUUUAAAAAUUGGAGCUCUAGAUUCAGCAGCUUGAAAGAUUAUUACCUAAAGAUUAAGAUAUUGCAUUAGAGAUGUAAAGUCCAACACAAGAUAACCAUGAAGGUCGUAUGUUCAUUUUCAUUAUCUGAGAUGGCUCCCAGGAUCUGUAGUAUUAUUGCGAAAUCUGAAUGUUCUCAUCAAUAGGACUGGUGAAUGUGGAACAGAUACUUGUGAAGUUGCGGGCGCAAGGCUUAGGCUUCCCAGAACGGGAACCAGUAAGUGUCUCUAGAGAUCAGAUGUAUCUCUCGUUACUGAAGAUGGAAUUUGUGGUUCGUGAAGAGCUUCUAACAAGUAGUUCUAGCUGCACCGUUGCCGUGUUGGAAACAUCUUAUGUUAUAUUAUAUGUGAUCAAACAUUACACAUUAUAAUGUGUAUACAAGAGUGUCAUCUGUAGUCACAACUCUUGGUGUAGAGUCACAACUAAUAGAUUGUAUACUAUAAUGCAAGAUUAAUACACUAAACUGUAUAAUACUCCCAAUAUGCAGCCAAUUGACGCAGAUACGCACUAGGCAAUGAUGGCCCAUUAUUUCAAGCAGCAAGAACAGCUGAAGGUAAGCCUGCUCAGAAAUCUAACAUUUAAGCAAAUUGUGAAAUUCUUUGCAAGCAGUUGUGCCUCGUCCAUCACCAUUUCGCUGCGACGAGAACCUGAGGCACGAUUACGAUGUCUUGAUGCUCGUGGCAGCGAAUGGCUGAGGACGAGGAUGAUGCGUACAUGAACGCCCAGUGGGCUAAUCCUAACUCUCUCAAGUCGCAGUUACAAGGCAUGGCCGCGAAAAUGCAGAACAAAUAAAGUCUUCAAUUGCAGAAGUGAUGCAUCUGCCAGUUGUGUAAGCAACUGGAUGCAGUGUAGAACAAUGUGACCUGCUUCUGGAGCUUUCCUUUGAGAUCAUCACAACCGACAAGAGCACGUUGCAUGACAGAAGUCAUCACGCAGGAAACACAGGUUUGAGGCAUUCCUACUACUCCGAGGAAGUAACGUGUGCUGAUAGUGACCACAUUGAACUACUACUCUGCCAUUCUGCUUGUUCGCCAAGUAAAAUAUGAGUAAUCGUUUGCCCUGCUGAAUGACUCUCAUCAGCUUAAUCCUCACAGAACGUCUAUCUUGAAGUUCAGCCAGCGUUUGUUCGAUGUUUUUCCUUGCCCACCCCGUCUCAAAAGCCAGAGAACCAUACUCACAUAGCUUGAACCUCCUCGCUUUUACAAACCUGGUCAUCGCUUGAUACUAAUCAAAUAGUGGAGUUCACCAUUGUUUCCGCAGGUGAUGUCAAAGAUGUUGAAGUGAGAGCGGAAGGUGAUCUCAUACCCGCAACAUGUAAUUGCACUGGUUGUCCUAUGGAAGCCAUACUCUACGGAUCCCAAAUACGUACAAGCUACAAUUCAUAAUCGUGCUUAGAACUCAAGAUUAUACAUGUGAAGGAAUAUGAACUUGCGCUUGCAGAAAUGACGGCAAUCCUUUGAAUCAUUUUUCAAAGGCAAGAUUCUUGAUGGACAUUAAGGUCAACUCCACCACUGAAGAGGAAGUUGCUUGUUGCUAUUAAGGCGUGUACCAUCCAGCCUUCGUGUGCAACUUUUACUUCAGCCUUCAUUUGCACAAUUGACUUGCACCACACGUGUAAAAUAGAACAAUUGGAUCCAUAUGGAAUCAUCAUAUAUUGAAACUGCAUAUUAAGUUGAGGUGUCCAACCUCUUGGAUGAAUUGAUCGAGUGUAAUGUUACUAGAGUGAACGGUUGUGUUUGUAUUGCACAAGAUUUGGAUAAUAUUUGGAGAUUUGUAAAACAUAGAAGAUUUGGGUGAAGGGUGAUGUUUAUGUGGUUGAUUGGAUAGGAUGGAUACUUAAGUUAGUUUAUUAAGAGAAUAAGGCUUGAUAUGGUUGUGAUGUUGAGAUAUAUAUAUAUAUAUAUAUGUUUUUGUUUAUGAGUUGGUUUAAAUUGUAAUCAUGUUAUUGGUAUAACAAGUGAUAAAAUAAAUACCAUGAAUUAGAAAAAAAUAGAAUAUAAAUUAGUUUGUAUAAAAUAUGUUGAAGGAUUGAAAUGUAAAUGAGUUGCAUUAAUAUUUAUAUUUUUUGUAUAAAGGUCUUGUAGUAAUCAAAUUAGAUUUCAAGAAUAUAUGGUUAUUUGAAUAAGUAAAUGGAAUAUAUUUAAGAAUCAAAUGUUACUUAUUUUGUCAGGUAUAAACAUCAAUUAUUGAGAUUUUGUCUAAAUGAUGAGACAUUUGAAAUGAAUAUUUAUAUAUUAUUUUAUUUCUAUAUAUGAAUAAUUAUUAGUUAUAAAUUAUUGAGAGAUAAUAAAAAUUUAUUAAAAGAAUCAUAAUUAUAAGUAGAGAUUUGUUUUUCUACGUUUACUUGUGAAUUAUAUUAAGAAAUUUAUUUGCUAUACUCAAGACUCUUUUCAGUGAUUAAUUUUUAUUAAAAUAUUAUAAAAUAUUUAAUAAGUUUGUAUUCAUGUAAUUGUAGGCAAGUUACAUAUGUAAUUCAACUAUUUAUCAUGAUCUCUCUUGUAAUUUUUUUUUGUUAAAAAUUUGUAAAAAAUUGACAACAUUGAAGAAAAAAUACUUAGUGGAAAUUGAUAUAGCCAAAAUACCAUAUUUUGGAACAUUUAAGAACAAAGAUCAUAAAAAGAGGAUAACAAAAGACGUUGAUGCUGAUAUUCCAUUGAUAAGUUUUAUAUUAGUAAUUUUGUUUGAUGUAUACAUUGAGUUGAUUUGUAUGAUUUUAAGGUCUUUAUGUUCAAAUAUGUAUUUUUUUUAAUAAUGUUAUAUUGUUAAAUUAUGAAUAUAAAAUCAUAUUAUUGUAUUAGAAACUAUGGUACAAAUUGUAACUUUUAUUAACUUGAUGAUUUGAUUAUUUAAAUAGGGACAUGAUUAUAAAAAAGAAAUUAAUGGAUGUAAAAGAACAUUUGUCAAACAUUAAAGAACUAUGCAAAGGAAGAAUAAAUACAUUAUGUUUUAUUGAUAUGGAUGGAAUAGAAAAGACUAUAUUAGCAAAAGCUACAUUUGAUAAUAUGCAACAUAUGUAUGAUGUAUUAUGCUUUGUUGAAAGUAUUCAAAAUAAAGAUUACGGUUUUUUAAUAAUUUGCAAAGUUUUGAACCAAUUGAAUUUUUAAUUGAAACCAAAGGAUUUGGAAGAAGCUCAAGAAAUAAUGAAAGAAUUAUUGAUGAGCAAAAAUUUCAUGCUAAUAUUAAAUGAUGUGAGGAACAAAAGUCAUAUUAAUAAUAUAAUACUUAUAGAUGUUUUAUAUUCUAAUAAAGGUAGCAUAUUAAUUGUGACAAUCCAAAAUUAUUAGGUACUAAAACACUAUUCUAAUAAAGUAGCAUAUUAAUUGUGACAAUCCAAAAUUAUUAGGUACUAAAACACUAUUCUACAAAGAUUGAUAAAUAUGAUGUUGAAGGACUUGACUAAGAUGCAAUUUUGAAUUUGUUUACAACUUAUUCUUAUAGAGAUGAUGACAUAUUAUCUAAAGAACUUAUUGAGGUUGGCAAACAAAUUGUAAGAUCUUAUAAUGGACUGACUUUAAAUUUGAAAGUUGUAGGCUCAUUUUAAAGAGGACAAAAGAAGUUGACAUGUUGAAAAAGAGCUUUGCAAAAGUUAAAGAGAAGAAGAAAUUUGGAUGGAGAUGAAGAUAGUAAUUAUAAGCUAUGGUCUAUUUUGAAGAUAAGUUUUGAUACUUUAAAAAUUGAAGAAAAGAAUAUUUUUUUGGACAUAUUAUGUUUAUCUUGGUAAUAAUGUGGAUUGAGGUAGUAUAAUGAAAGAAAAUAUAUUACAAAUAUGGACCAAUAAAAAGAAUAUAAUUAAAAAAGCAAGAUGCAAGUAUAGAUUUGGAUAUGUUGAUGCAUCAAUCUAUAAUAAAAAUAAAAAAAUAUGGAAUAAUAAAAAAGCAUGAUUAAUUAUAAGAUACAAAUAAAAAUAUUGUUAAAAAUAAAAAGAAUAAAAAGAUGUAAAAAUUUGGAAUAUCAAUAUAGUACUAGUAAAUAGAUUAAUAAUAAAAGAAAUAAUUUUAAAUAAUGAUAUAAUAAUUGAAAUAAAAUCAUAAAUAAAAAAUUAAUAAAGAAAUAAAAUAAAAUAAAGUAUAAAAUAAUUUAAUAUAUCUCAAGAUUAAUUUUAUAUUUUGUAUGUAUUGCAAUGUAAAAUACUUUGAGAUUCGUAUAUAUUUGAAGUGUUUAAUAAUAUUAUAGAUUAUAAUUUCUAAUUAUAUUUUUCUUCUAUUAUUUAUUGAUUGAAAGGUAUUAUACUUGGUAAUAAUAUAAAGAAUAACUUGAAACGGUUUAUUAUAAAAGAAUUAUACUUCUACUCUCUAUAAAUACCUAUAUGUAAUAUUGAUAGAAAUUCAAGUAAAGAAAUGUUUAAAAUAUUUAUUUAUUUAGUAAAAAAUGCUAAAAAAAUUAAAGAUUUUAUUUCUAAAAAAUUAUAAUGAUUUAUUUACUUGUAUCUAUGAAAAUAUAAAGAUACCAUCUAAAAUAUACAACAAAGACUUUUAAAAAUUAUUUGAAGAAUUGACAAUAUUGAUUAUAAUAGGAUUUCAAUUAGGUGAAAUACUUUCAAUAUCACUAUUUAUAAAUAAUAUAUUAUUAAGACUUCAUUUAUAUCAUUCCUAUAAAUAUAAAAUAUUACAUAAAGCCAUAAAAAAUCUAAAAUAUUUUAAAAAAACUUCUUCUUUGAAAAUACUUUAUUAGAAAGCUUGUUCAAGCUUGAGAAAUUUGCCAAAUGAAUUGGUAAAUAUUUCUUUUUUGAUAACACUUGAUUUAAAUAAUUACUUAAGCUUGAUAAAAUUAUUAAAUAAAUUGACAAAUCUUUCUAUAAUAUAUUUAAAUUUGAGUGGUUGAUUAAGCUUAAUAAGCUGGUUAAAUGAAUUAAAAAAUCUUUUGUCAUUGACAACACAUAGUUUGAGAAAUUUCUCAAGUUCGAAAAGCUUACUAAAUGAAUUAAAAAAUCUUUCUUCUAUCAUUACAAUAAUUUGAGUAAUUUUUUUAAAUUAAAAAGCUUAUUAAAUGAACUGACAAAUCUUUUCUUUUAACACAUUUAAAUUUAGGUGGUUUAUUAAGCUUGAUAAGCUUACCAAAUGAAUUAGCUAAUCUUUUUUUCUUUGAAAAGACUUAAAAUAGAUAAUUAUCUAAGCUUGAUAAGUAUACUAAAUAAAUUAGCAAAUCAUUCUUCUUUCAUAAGAUUAGAUUUGGAAAAAAAUUUAAGCUUAAAAAGCUUAUCAAAUUAAUUGAUAAAUCUUUCUUCUUUGAUAAUAUCUAAUUUGAAAAGUUGCUCAAGCUUGAUAUGCUUGCCAAAUGAAUUAGCAAAUCACUCUUCUUUGAUAAUAUUUUAUUUGAAUAAUUUCUUAAGUUUCACAAGCUUGCAAAACAAAGUGAAAAAACUUUCUUCUUUGACAAAAAUUCAUUUAAGCAAUUAUUUAAGCUUGAUAAACUUAUCAAAUGAAUUGACAAAUCUUUCUUCUUUGACAAUAAGUAUUUUUAGAUUUUUUUUUAAUUUGAUAAGAUAAAUAAAUGAAUUGGCAAAUCUUUCUUCUUUGAUAACAAUUUAUUUGAGUAAUUUCUUAAGCUUGAGAAGCUUGCCAAAUGAAAUUGAAAAUCUUUCUUCUUUAAUAAUAAUUCAUUUAAGAAGUUGUUCAAGCUUGAAAAGCUUAUCAAAGGAAUUAAAAAAUCUUUCUAUUUUGAUAUAUUUAAAUUGAAAAAUCAUUCUUUUUUUAUUAGAUUAAAUUUAGAUAAUUUUUUAAAUUUUAAAAGCUUACUAAAUGAAUUGAUAUAUCAUUCUUCUUUAAUAAGACUUCAUUUGAAAAAUUGCUCAAGCUUGAAAAACUUGCCAAAUAAAUUAGAAAAUCAUGCUUCUUUGAUAAUACUUGAUUUGAGUAAUUUCUUAACCUUCACAAAUUUAUGAAAGGAAGUAGUAAAUCUUUCUUCUUUGACAACAAUUCAUUUGAAUAAUUUCUUAAGUUUGAUAAGUUUACUAAAUGAAUUGGCAUAUCAUUAUUUUUUAAUAAGAUUUGAUUUGAAAUAUUGCUUAAGCUUGACAAGCUUACGAAAUGAAUUGACAAAUCAUUCUUCUUUGAAACUAAUUAAUUUGAGUAAUUUUUUAAGCUUUAUAAGGUUGAAAAAUGAUGUAAAAAAUCUUUCUUCAUUAAAAAAAUUAUAAUUAAGAAGUUGAUCAAGCUUGAUAAGCUUGCUAAAUGAAUUAGCAAAUCUAUCUUCUAUCAUAAAAAUUUAUUUGAAUAAUUGCUUAAGCUUGAUAAGCUUAUCAAAUAAAUUAGCAAAUCUUUUUUCUAUCAUAACAAUGAUUUGAGUAAUUGCUUAAAUUUGACAAGCUUACUAAAUAAAUUGGAAAAUCUUUCUUUUUUAGUAAUAAUUUAUUUGAUAGGUUGCUUAAGCUUUAUGAGCUUACCAAAUAAAUUGGCAAAUAUUUUUUCUUUGAUAAUAAUUUAUUUGAAUAAUUUUUGAAGCUUCACAAGCUUUCUAAAUAAAUUGACAAAUAUUUCUUCUUUAACAUAUUUAAAUUAAAGAGGUUUGUCAAGCUUGAAAAGCUUAUCAAAUAAAUUAGAAAAUAUUUCUUUUUUGAAGAGACUUGAUCUGGAUAAUUAUCCAACCUUGACAAGCAUUUCAAAUGAAUUGGAAAAUCUUUCUUCUAUGAUAAAAUUAGAUUUGGAUAAUUUUUCAAGCUUAAAAAUUUUACUAAAUGAAUUGACAUAUCAUUCAUUUUUUAUAAGACUUGAUUUAAAAGAUUACUCUAUUCAGGCUUGAUAAGGUUGCUAACUAAAUUGAUAAAUCUUUCUUCUUUAAUAAUACUUGAUUUGAAGAAUUUCUUAAGCUUUACAAGCUUUCAAAAUGAAGUGACAAAUCUUUCUUCUUUAAAAAUAUUAUAUUUAGAUAAUUAUUAAAAAAAUUUAAGCUUAUCAAAUGAUUUGGCAAUACUUUUAUUUUUAAUAAUACUUAAUUUGAGUAGUUGCUCAAGCUUAAUAAGUUUGCUUAAUAAAUUAAAAAAAUCUUUAUUUUUUAUCAAUAUUUAUUUAAGUAAUUGUUUAAAUUUAAGAAGCUUACCAAAUAAAUUGACAAAUCUUCUUUCUUUGACAUGGCUAGAUUUAAGUGGUUGUUUAAAUUUGAUAAGAUUUUCAAACUAAUUGAAAAAUCUUUUUUCUUUAAUAAUAAUUGAUUUGAGUGGUUUCUUAAGCUUAAUAAGUUUGCCAAAUAAAUUGGCAUAUCUUUCUUCAUUGAUAAUAUUUGAUUUAAGUAAUUGCUCAAAUCUUACAAACUUGCCAACUGUAACAUUUAGAUCAUCAAGCAAUUUAGCACCAAACUUGAUUGGUUGUAUCCAAAGAUUUAUAGCAAGAAUUGAAGCUCUUGCAACAUCUAACAUAUUUAAUUAUAUUUGAUUUAUAGCAUAUUAACUUAAUCUUAUCUCAUAACAAGUAAUUGUAGAUAUCACUAAAGUGGAUGGAUUUAAUUUUAUAGCAACUUUUUUGAGAAUAAUUGAUUGAUUAUAAUGUUAAAAAACUUUGAUCCAUUGCAUAAAAUCUAAAUGACUAUAUUAUAUUAAUACUUAUUGGACUUUACUAAAUAAAUUAAUACUUAAUGAUUUGUAGUUUAUGCAAUCACAUUCUAUUUUAAUAUUAUUAUGAUGAUGUUCAUCAUAUUCUAAGUUAAUACAAUUAUUGACAAAAAAUACUAAUGAUGGAUAAAAAAUAAAUCAAAUCACUUUUUAACUUGUCAUUUAUAUUUAUUUAUAGACGAAUAAAUUAAUUUUUUCUAAUAAAAGAAUCAUAUGAUAUAUCAAAUUAAUAAAAAAACUUUAAAAUAUAAUAUUUUCACGGCCAUAAUCAUGUAAGCUAAUAAUUACAUAUAGAAAUAGGUAGAAGUAAGUAAAAGUAGAUAAAAGUAAGUUAAUUCUAUAAUAUUUAAUAUAGAAGCUUCCUAGAAACUUUCUAGACGCUGCUUUGACUUCAUAGGUGUCUUUAAUUGACUUUUUGGAUUAGAAACGUGGUCAACAAGUUGGCCAUGUGCCACACAUGUUGUUAGCUUGAAGAUCAAGCUAACUAUGUGGCCCACACGUAGAAAAACUUACCUUGUAAGUCAAGGCAUGUGUCCUACAAAGUCAACACAUAUUAGAGGUCCUAUAGAACGUCGCCACGUAGCCCCUAGUUAGAUAGUAUAUAUAGAGACAAGAGUGAAGGCUUCUUCACUCUUGUCAACUCUUUUCUUGCUUCUAGUCCAGGUUCAAGAGUCUUUAGUUUCUUGUCUUGUGGCAAUAGCCAUUCCAGUUUCCUUUUAAUAUACCUACUUGUUCAUAUUUUGACUUAUUAUAUCGAGAUAGCCUUUUGGUGUAUAUUUUCCCUCAUCAAGUCUUUGUCCUUGACAGAUUGACAAGAGUACACUUACAAUAUCAGAGCUUUGUUUUUUCUUGAGUAAGAGUGGAUUACCCCUUUCUCUUGACAAGGCAUAAGCGUAUUAGAAGUUUGCGGAUUACCCACUUCUAAACUGAUAUUGUUCUUAGUAUCUUCUUUGUUAUCAAGUCUUUCUUUUCUUUUGUCUUGAGCAGUAUCAAACAAAUUUUUCUUCUUAGUGUCAUUAUGGCAGAGCUUGUUGAAAUGAAGAGUGCAAUGGCACAAAUGCAAGAGCAAAUGAGGGAGUUAAUGCUUGCGAUGCAUCAACUCAAUUCACCAACACAGGAAAAAAUAAGAAUAGCAGAAAGUGGGGAUAUAGAGAUGAUCGGAGCUGCUUCAACAUCUACAACAAAUCACGUUCCUUCUCCAAUUGUACAACACCCUAUAAGCACUAGAGAACCAAGAAUUGCCUUACCUGAGAAAUUUGAUGGUACGAGAUCAAAGUUUCGAGGGUUCAUCAAUCAAGUACAAUUGGCAAUUGAACUUCAACCGCAAAGCUAUCCAACUCCAGGAUCACAAGUUAGGUUUAUUGGCACUCUACUUUCUAGUUCUGCAUUAUCGUGGUUUUCGUCUUUUCUUGAACAACGAAAUCCAAUAUUGGACAAUUUGGAAGCUUUUUUGGCGGAGUUUCGAUCUAUGUAUGGUGAACACGAUGCAACUCGUGUUGCAACAAAUAAGAUUCGAAUUCUGCGACAAGAAAAUCGCUCAGUACCAGUAUAUGCUUCACAAUUUCGACAACUUGCAAUUGACAUCAAGUGGGAUGAUGCUGCACUCAUCAGUCAAUUUCUUUAUGGAUUGCAAUACGAAGUAAAGAAAUUGAUGCUCAACUUACCUGAUCCUCAAACUUUGAGUCAAGCAAUCGAUUUUGCGGUAAAAUGUGAUAAUCGACUUUUCGAAUUUCGAUCCGAGAAUCAUUCACGGGAACCUCAACGUUAUUACUCAAUGGCAACAUCAACAUCUUUGCCAAACGUACAUUCAGAAGUAGAAGACAUGCAAAUUGACGCGUUACAUUUUAAACCCCUAACUGAGCAAGAAAAGAUUUAUCGUCGUCAAGAAGGAUUAUGUUUAUAUUGCGGAGAACCUAAGCUCACUGCUCAACAUUGUCCAAAGAAACGACGCAACUAUAAAAUGAGGGGUACGACAGUCAAAGAAGACAACAUGUCGGAAAACGGAUUCAUCCAGCUAUAAUAGGGACCGUGCAGCUGGAACCUUGUACAAUUCCUAAUGAAGGUCCUAUCCUCUCCUCAAAACCCUCUCCUUGAUUUAUAAUAGACUUAUAUUUAGGACCUAAGAAUUACAAAGCCUCUGCUUUAUUAGAUUCGGGAGCCUCAGCAUGUUUUUUAGAUGAACAAUUUGUUAAAAGUCGUAAAAUACCCUUUGUACAGAAACCUAAACCAGUACAUGUAGAAGUCAUAGAUAGUCGUCCCUUGUCUUCUGGAGAUGUCACUCAUGAAACUCAUCCUAUAAAAGUAACAAUAGACGGUCAUGAUAGCUACAUAGCUUUUAACAUAAUUAAAUCCCCGUCCAAUCCAGUUAUUUUAGGUUUAUCCUGGCUAGAAAAAUAUAACCCUCGAAUAGAUUGGAAUUCGCGUAAACUUGACUUUUCCCAAAGCGUUAUUAAUAGUUCUACCAACCAAGUAAAAAAUUAUAAGUCUAAUAUAGUAAAACCCGUACUGAUAGGUGCAAAAGCAUUUAUAUACACAGCAAAAGAAGGAUCAACUUUUGCUAUUUAUGCUGCACCUAUUUCUGAAAACGUAAAGACUUCAAGUGGCAUUCCAAGUCAAUAUCAGGAGUAUCAAGACGUUUUUGAGAAAAAGAAUGCAGAUAUUCUUCCUGAGCAUCGCCCAUAUGAUUGUUCAAUCGACCUCAAGGAAGGAACUCAGCCACCAUUUGGACCAAUUUACAGUUUAUCGCAAGAUGAGAUGGCUGAACUCAAGACAUAUAUUGACGAGAAUUUAGCGAAGAAUUUCAUACGCCAUUCAAAAUCUCCAAUAGGAGCUCCAAUUCUAUUCGUAAAGAAAAAAGAUAGAUCUUUACGAAUGUGUGUUGAUUAUCGAGGACUCAACAAGAUCACAAUCAAGAACAGGUAUCCAUUACCUUUGAUAUCAGGACUCCUUGACCAGUUGAAUCAAGCUAAGAUCUAUACAAAAAUAGAUCUAAGAGGAGCAUAUAAUCUAGUACGGAUCAAAGAAGGAGAUGAAUGGAAGACUGCGUUUCUAACUAGGUAUGGACAUUUCGAAUAUAAUGUCAUGCCUUUUGGACUCACGAAUGCACCAGCUACUUUUCAACAUCUCAUGAAUGAUGUAUUUUGUGAAUUCUUAGACAAUUUUGUCGUCUACUAUCUAGACGAUAUCUUGAUCUAUUCUAAGAACGUCGAAGAACAUGAAAUACAUGUUCGUCAAGUAUUACAAAAACUUAGAGAUGCAGGAUUGUACGCCAAGAUGGAAAAGUGUGUAUUUCACACUACUCAAGUUGACUUUUUAGGAUACAUCAUUUCAAAUGAUGGUCUCAUGAUGGAUUCUAAGAAAGUCCAAACAAUCAUGGAUUGGAAGAUUCCAAGGACAGUAAGAGAUGUCCAAUGUUUCUUGGGAUUUGUCAAUUACUAUCGGAUCUUCAUCAAAGAUUUCUCACGAGUUGCAGCUCCACUUACACGCUUGACUAGUAAAGAUAAAUUCCAAUGGAAUCAAGAAGCGGAAGCAGCAUUUGAAGCCUUGAAGACAUCGUUUGUCUCUGCACCAGUCUUAUAUCGUGUUGACUUUUCCAAGGCAUUUUUUAUGGAAACAGAUGCAUCAGAUUUUGCCUUGGGUGCAGUUUUAUCACAAAUGGGAACAGAUGACAAACUUCAUCCGAUAGCUUUUCAUUCAAGAAAAUUCUCAGCAGCCGAGAUCAAUUAUGAGAUCCAUGAUAAAGAACUUCUUGUGAUCGUGGAUUCCUUUCAAGAAUGGCGUCAUUAUCUAGAAGGCGUUUCUAGUCCAGUCACUGUGUAUACAGAUCACAAGAACCUCGAGUAUUUCAUGUCAGCACGCGUGUUGAAUCGUCGUCAAGCUCGUUGGAGUAUGUCUUUGUCAAGAUUCGAGUUCAUUAUCACUUAUCGGCCAGAAAAACAACAAGGUUUGUCUGAUGCCCUAUCUAGACGUUCUUAUUUUGCACCAAAAGAAGGAGAUGCAGCUUUUGAGCAACAAAGAACGGUCUUCUUGAAACCGGAGCAAUUUCAUCUCCGAGCAAUGAAAUCAACAUUGAUUGUUGAUUCAACUUUUCUCAAGCAAAUCCAGUCCAGUAUGUCCUCAGACCCUUUUGUUUAUGAUAUCGAGAAUAAUUCUUCCAAGUCUCAUGAUCCUUCUAAGUUCGAGUUCAAGAAUAAUCUAUUAUAUUUUGAAGGACGCCUAUAUGUUCCAGAAGGAGAAGCACGUUUACGUGUUCUUCAAGCACGUCAUGACUUUCCAGCAGCAGGGCACUUUGGAUAUAAUAAGACUUUGGAACUCAUAUCAAGAGAUUUUUGGUGGCCACAAAUGUGGAAGUCAGUCAAAGAUUUUGUACAAUCAUGUGAUAUUUGUUCAAGAUCAAAAAUUCCUCGUCAUCGACCUUACGGACUUCUUCAGCCAUUACCUAUACCAGAACAACCAUGGUCUUCUGUUUCUAUGGAUUUCAUCACAGAUCUUCCAAGCUCAAGAUCUUAUGAUUCUAUAUUUGUGAUAGUAGAUCGUUUCACCAAGAUGGCACAUUUUGUGCCAUGUAAAAAAUCUAUCACAGGUGAAGAAAUAGCUAAGCUUUUCAUUGAUAAUAUCUAUCGCUAUCAUGGAUUACCUAAAGAUAUCAUAUCAGAUAGGGGAACUCAAUUUGUGUCAAGAUUUUGGAGGACCCUUUUCAAGAUUUUAAAAGUGGACAUAAAGCUAUCUUCGGCUUUCCAUCCUCAAACUGAUGGACAAACAGAGCGCGUAAACCAAGUCUUGGAGCAAUAUUUAAGGUGUACUAUCAACUACCAACAAGAUGAUUGGACAACCCUUCUGCCAUUGGCAGAGUUUGCUUAUAAUAAUACGGUACAUUCUUCCACGCAACAAACACCUUUCUUUGUCAAUUAUGGCUAUCAUCCACGACUUGAUACUUUUGAUUUUUUAAAAGUUGAUAAUCCUGCAGCAGAAGAUAUGGCAAAUCGGUUGUCAGAGUUACAUGCAAUAAUGAAGACGCAAUUGAAGGAAGCUCAAGAACGACAAAAGAUAAACGCAGAUCUAUAUCGUAAGGAGCAACCACAAAUCAACGUGGGUGAUAAGGUAUGGCUAUUUCGUCGCAAUAUCAAGACUACUCGACCUUGUGAUAAAUUGGACUAUCGUAGGCUUGGCCCCUUUUCUGUUUCUGAACAGAUCAACCCAGUUGCAUAUCGGUUACAUCUACCGGAGUCAAUGAAGAUCCAUCCUGUAUUCCACGUGUCUCUUCUUGAACCAUAUAAGACAGUGGAUAUACAAAGAAGAAGACAAAUGCCACCGCCUCCUAUAGAAGUAGAUAAUAAUGAAGAAUUUGAGGUGGAAGAGAUAUUAGACUCAAGGCGGCGCCGAAAUAAGCUGGAAUAUCUUGUUCAUUGGCGCGGAUAUGAUAUUAAUGAACGCACAUGGGAGCCAUCCAGGAAUCUAGGAAAUGCAUCAGCUAAAGUCAAAGUUUUUCAUCAACGACAUCCAUCAAAACCAAGAUGAAAAUCUCUCUUAUAAAAGAGACAAGAUUGAGGCAAGAUAACAUUCAAUUUCCUAUCCUUGUUUGUAACUUCUUUGCAUUUGUGACGCUAAUUAGAUGGAGAGCCAACAACCAGCGAAUUCAACUCAAGAACCUUCGUUUGCUGACCUGCCGGACGAGACAUUACGAUUGUCACAACCUUCAAGAUGACGCAAUCGAGAUGAAGAUCUUCAAGAACGACAUGUUCUUCCUCGAACAGAUGGUGAGAUACAACGCGUUUGGUAUCACGAUUUGGGAAGGGACUCUCGAUGUUUGGUGAUUUUGCUAGAGGUAGGAACAACUCCUGAUGGUAUUCCGAAUAUUCUAUUCGAAGGAAGUUACGAAGGCCUCAACAAUGAUCAAAUAACUGGGUGGUCUUCCCGCCCUGGUAUGGGACACUACCGAUGGUUGAGAGGCCCUAUAAAUCAUCUUCGAAGAGAACAGAGAUCAGAGUAUGUGGCGAAUACAAUUCGUCGCAUCAUAGAUUUCCUCAACAGAUGAUGACUGCUCCUCGUGGAACUCGUCUCUAGAAGGGGGGGUAAUGUCACGGCCAUAAUCAUGUAAGCUAAUAAUUACAUAUAGAAAUAGGUAGAAGUAAGUAAAAGUAGAUAAAAGUAAGUUAAUUCUAUAAUAUUUAAUAUAGAAGCUUCCUAGAAACUUUCUAGAUGCUGCUUUGACUUCAUAGGUGUCUUUAAUUGACUUUUUGGAUUAGAAACGUGGUCAACAAGUUGGCCAUGUGCCACACAUGUUGUUAGCUUGAAGAUCAAGCUAACUAUGUGGCCCACACGUAGAAAAACUUACCUUGUAAGUCAAGGCAUGUGUCCUACAAAGUCAACACAUAUUAGAGGUCCUAUAGAACGUCGCCACGUAGCCCCUAGUUAGAUAGUAUAUAUAGAGACAAGAGUGAAGGCUUCUUCACUCUUGUCAACUCCUUUCUUGCUUCUAGUCCAGGUUCAAGAGUCUUUAGUUUCUUGUCUUGUGACAAUAGCCAUUCCAGUUUCCUUUUAAUAUACCUACUUGUUCAUAUUUUGACUUAUUAUAUCGAGAUAGCCUUUUGGUGUAUAUUUUCCCUCAUCGAGUCUUUGUCCUUGACAAAUAUUUACUAUACACACAUAAUAACUAUUAAUAUUUAUGUACUUUUUUGGUACAAGAUUAAUUUAACUAAUAAAUAAUUUAAAUUAAAAAAUUACACAAAACAUAAAAAGAUGCAAUAAUUACAUAAUAGGAAUAUGUGCCAUCUAAAGUAGAAAUCUAAGACAUGUACACAUGUAUUAAUUUGUAUUUUAAUUUAUUAAAUAUAAUAUUAUAUUUGCUUAUUUUAUAAUUGUGCUCUACAUGCAUCUUAAUUCUUACAACUUGUGAUAUGGUUUCUUUGUUGUUACAUCUUAUUCUAAUAAAUCUUAAUUGAUCUUAUUUAUAUUAUCUUAGGAUAUAAUUUAUUUUUUGUAAGUUAAUAUUGUACUUAGAGAAUGAAAAAGUUGUAAAUAAUGCAUGAAUAGAUUAGGAGAUCUAUUUUUUUAUAUUUUAUUUUUAUAAAUAAUCUAUUCCAUCUGACGUUUCUAGCAAUUUGUAGAAAAUCUUUGUGAAGCAUUGCUUUAUAGUGCACAUUACUUUGGAGUAAUUAGAAGUGAUGAGUUAAAUUACUUAAGUGGUUGCAUUACUCUUGUUAGCUUAAACUUGUAUCUAUACAUUGUCAUGAUUGUUGGAUUCAAUGAGGUAAUUGAUUGUGAGCUUUUUGAUGGUCAUUUUGUGAGUUGAAAGUGUUGUGAUAGAAUUGUAUUAUAUUUUUCUAUCCAAGUUUGAAAUUUUGUAAAAAAAAUUGUAUCCCUAUGCUCUAUCAAAAAUUUGACAAUCUAUAUUGGAAUUGUAUCAUUUCUUAAGAGGUGUUGAAAUUAAGAGACUUGUGUGUCUUUCCUUCUCUUAAUAGUUUGUACUUUGCAUAUAAGCAAUUCUUUCUUUUGGCUUGAGAUUUUUCAUCUUGAUGUUAUUUGUAGAUUUUUCCCACUUCUGAGCAAUAAGGCUUAUCAAAUUGGAAUACAAAGCUUUGCAAUGGCAAGUUAACUAUUAAAUUGUUCCUCAACAUCAAUCAACAAAUGAAGGCUAUUUGAAAGGAAUUGAGAUAGUCACUUCUAAAUUUUGAUGUGUCACCUUGUAAAGCAUUUGCACUUCGGUGUUUGAGGCUAAUUUUAAGCACUAAUAAACUUUAUACUUAUCAUGUCAUGUUGUUGCUAUGCUGACUACAAAGUCCAAGGUCUAAUUAUUGAUAUUUUAAGUUAUUUAUAUUUUAUCUAUUUCAAUAAUAAUAGAAUAAUACUAAAAUAAAAAUAAAAACAAGAUUCUAUAUAAAUCUUGGGUAAAAAAGCCAAACCAAAUCAUUAUUACUCUAAGUGUCAAAUAUACUAUUAAAAAAGCUAAAUUUUAAAAAAACAUAUUACUAAAAGAAUUAUUAUGAACUUAUCAUAGUUAUAAUUCUAUACUUAUUAAACAUAUCUACACUUAUAUGUAAUUUUAAUAUAUCUUCUAUUUUAUAACGAAUUUAUAAUAGAUUUAUAUACAAUCAUAUUUUUAAAAUUUGUAAAAUAAUAUAAAGUAUUAAACAAAAAGAACUAAUUGUAUUAAAUUUGAUCAAGUUUAAUAAGCCAUGAUUUUAAUUGCUUUUCUUAAUAUUUUUCUUUAGAGGUGUUUCAAACAUUUCCAACAAGGUAUUAGAAUAAAUAGAAAAAAAUUCCUAAAGUUUAAAAAUAUGUAUAAAUUUCUAGAAUCUUACAAUGCAUUACUCUAAAUUCAUGUCUUUAUCAUAUUCUCUACCAAAUGUUAGCAUAGAAAGAUGUCUAUUGCUUAAUUUUUCAUCAUAUGCAUAAUAAAAAAAAAUAUGGUUAUAUUUUUUUCAAUUUGUGAGCAUAUUUGAAUCCAACUCCAAGGCAAGAAAGAAAAUAUUUGCUCUAGAAGUAGUUAUUAAUUCCAAGUAAUCAAAUAGAUUGGCCAUCUAUGAUCAAUUACUUGAAAGACUUUAUAUUGUCCAACUUUAUUGCUUUUGAAUCUAUCAAUUUGGAUUAAUAUGUGAGAUUUAGAAAAGAUAGAGAAAGUUCUAAUUCCAAGAUGAGUGCAUUCAAAACCACUAAUUAGAGAAAGAAAAAUCACUUAAUUCAAUGACCCUCCAUUGUAAUUGAUCUUCGAAUAUGAGUUUUAUAUAUAAAUCUUUUAGAUUUAAGUUUUUAUGUAAUUAUAUUGUUAAUAAUAUAUAUAGCAAUAACUAUAAAAAUAAUAUAAGAAGAAGAAAUAUUAAAGACUAUAAUUUUAAUUUUUAAAAUUUUAAAAUAAUAAAAUAAGAAAUAAAUAAAUAAAAAUAAAAGAAUAAAAAAUAUGUAAUGUGUAAAAAGAUGAUUUUUAUUUAUUAACUUAUAUCUAUCUAUAUAUAUAUAUAUAUAUAUAUAUAUAUAAAUUAUUUAAUUAUAUAAAAUCAUACUAAUAAUUUUUUUAUGGUGCACAAUUUUUUAAAUAUAUUUACUAUUCUACUAUACAUAGUUUUUUUUAUAAUAUUAAAUUAUUUUGAUAGCUUUUUUUUAAUCUUAAAACUAAAUAUGAUAUUAUAACUAUUUUUUUUAAGAUAGAAACACAAUCAUAAUUACAUUUAGAAGAUUAUGAUAUUUUUGACAAGAAUACCAAAUUAAGAUGCUAUAUUAAUACUUUGUUGUAUUGAAACAAAAUUGAUGUAAAACUAUUAACUUUUGUAAAUUACCUUUUUCCUUCCACAUUUUUAUUCUUUAUUACAGUUCUUUUUCAUAAAAAUUGAAUGCGUGUAUGUAUGUAUGUGUAUAUAUAUAUAUAUAUAUAUAUAUAUAUAUAUAUUAUAGAUUUUAGAAAAAAUUAAUAAAAUUAUAUGUAAACAAGAAAUUUAUAAGUUUUUGAAUUUUUUCUAUUGUUUGAUAAUUCUGUAAGUCAAAACCAUAAAGUACAUAGAAUUUUUAUUUUUAUUUAAUUGUGGUUAUAUUAUAUACAUUUUUUUAUUUUUUUAUGAUGUAAAAAGAAUUUAUAUAGAAAAAAAUACAUCAGUAUAAUAAUAAUAGUAGAUAUCAAAUUUUACAAAAUAAAAAUAUCAAAUAUUUUAUAUAUCGUAUGAGUUUUUAAUUUUUAGAUAUACUUAAUUUGUAAAAAUAAUAUGAAUAAAUAUAUAUUAUUUUUUUAAUAAAAAUAUUUUAAGAUUACAUCUUUGUUUAUGUGAUACAAAAUUGUUCUUCUAAACCAUUAGUAUGAUAUUUUGGUGUUUGUAUAUUUUUUCUAUUCUAGCGUUUUUUAUCUUUUACAAUGAAAACUGCUCACUACGAGCAGAUUAUCUUCUUGAAUACUAAUAUACAUGAUAUCGUCUGCAUACAUGUAUGCCGGUUAGAGUAUUGGUCACAAAAGAAAAAAGAAAAGAAAAGAAAAACUUACCUUCUCAAAUUUGUCUUGCAGUAGGUUGCUCUUUGCCAAAUCCACCGCGGCAUUCACGCCAUGCACAAUCAGAGCAAAAACUAGCUGCACUCCCGCACAAUGACUACCACUGUUGAUGUUGGGUCAACUACCCCAAUCACCUCCCAAACUUCUUCGGCUUGCCCUCCCCCACCAGCUUCUUCAUCGUGAACAUGUAAGUUGUGGUGCACCAACUUGUAUUCCUUCACCUUCAAGCCACUCUCAAGAAACUGCAUAGCUUUCUCUCCAUGAACAGUGACGUAGCAUGCGAUGUUUUCAUUACACCUGAUUCCAAAAGAACGCAUAGUGUAUCUUGCCUUCAAAAAAGACAAGAGAUUGACAGCUCAGUUGCUCCAACACCUUGGACGCGCAAGUCAAUCUGUCGCCGCGCUCUCCCAACUAAGCUAUCCACGCACAAGAACAAAACAGAAUUGGAUCAUGAACGGCACCCUCUUGCCUCCUCGCAGUUGUACCAUCAUCCCGGCAUAGUAGAUCCUGACUUCCUCCUCAAACCUCAGGUCCUCAUUUCUUACCACCAUCGGUCCCUCGAUCUCAUCCGGCGUGUACGCCAGUCAGGUCAUCAGCUUCUCCUACGCCACGCAGCAGAUCCCCCCCCCCCCCAAACUCCUCGCUGCUGAUUGCAAAAGGUGGUCUGCCAAUCAAGGCUACUUUGCUCCUAUCAACUACUUCGGCAGUGCAAAAAAAGAGAAAUAAUGAAUUGCGGCUCUUGUAUCGGGAUAGGGUUGGAACAUAGAGAUUGCCGCCAUCAACUCUUAAGUAGCUCUGCAGUUGGCACCACAACAAUCUCUGUAGCUAGCAUCGCAGCAUCGCAGCAUCUCCAGUUGUUUGAUGUUUUGUAUUGUAUUUCUCUUCAUGUUCAUGUAGUGCUUCUGAUUGGUGUUUUUGUUUUAGCCUGGUUUUUGACUGUUAUCUAUGUUGUGCUGUGUUGUAGGAGAAUUGAUAUGAUAAAGGGUUUCGAGGAAUAUUUUGAAGGCAAAAUUAAACUCUCGGAGUCCUUGGAGCUUUUGGAGUCACCAGAGGUUAAUAUCUGAUUGAAACCUGUGAAAAAUUUGAUGCCAAAUGUCCCCCUCCUCAAACUACGACCCGAUUGCUUAAGGUAAGUUGUGGUUUCAGUUUCAAUCUAACUUCCUCCCUCUUGCAUACGCCGUAUGUGGCGAAUUUUUGUAUGUUUUCACUAACUAUUUGUUCCUCUAUUCUUUUUUCUGGCUAUGCUGCUGUUCGUGUCCUCCCGUAUUUUUUUCAGAGGUCUGGACAAAGCGAAUUUUUAUCUUUUUAUAUAUGUCUGUGUGAAUCUUGAAAUAAAGCAUCAUACGCUGCUGUAUUAUUGCGAACGUGUACUAACGCAUUUUCUCAUACGGAGCUCAGCUCGUAGGCCACUUCAUUGAGGAGCAAUGUGUGAACCCAACUUUCAUCAUGCUUCAUCCACAAUUCAGGAGCCCUCUUGCCAAGUGGCAUCGGUCUAUUCCAGGCUUAACGGAGCAAUUUGAGUUGUUUUUGAACAAACACGAGGUGCACAAACAAUAUCUGCUCGUGUUUUGAAAGCCCGCAGAUGUAUUUUGCCUCAACAACUGUUCUUGUACAAUCCGUUUGUUGACGAUCGCUGAGCCUGCUCGAUAUUUUGUGGCAGGUGUGCAACGCUUACACUGAGUUAAACGACCCAGUGGUUCAAAGUGAGCGGUUUGCUGAUCAAGUCAAGGUGCAUAGCUAUUUCUCCUCUUUGUCGUUUACUACGUUAUGAAAUUUGUAUUUCAAAUGGAGAGUGAUUCGUCCAUCCUUCUUGGAUUCCUCGCAGGACCGGGAGAAUGGAGAUGACGAGGCAAUGGCCAUCUAUGAGAACUUCUGUACUGCACUUGAGUACGGAUUGCUUCCAACAACUGGAUGAGGCAUGGGGAUUGACAGAUUCGCGAUGAUGCUCACUGAUUCCCAAAACAUCAAGGUGUGAUUAACUUAUUUGUCGAUGUAAUUAUAUUGUGCAGAUGAUGAAUCCUUUCUGAUUAUAUCUGCUUGUAUGUACUUUUAUGUAAAUCCUAUUUACACUUCACUAACUUCCCUUGGAACACAAUUUGAGUACUAUUUCUGUUCUUUCUGUCAAUAGGAGGUCUUGUUGUUCCCGACCAUGAAGACGUGAUGGAGCCGUCGGUCCGAGCAGCAGACGAUUUGUCUUCGUAGGCUUUUUUGCGUCCGCCGUUGAAUCGACUCAACAUUUUCAUUCAUUCGUUAUCAUUAGGUCGCCGUCACUGCCGAGUGAUGAUUUGCUUAUACUGGUCAUGAACCUCAGAUCGAUGACGUCUGCUACAACACUAUUGACCUACGUCCAUCGCUUGUAAUUACCUUGGGGUCCCUGUAUCUCAGUUAUGCGAGCUUGCAAGUUGGGGAAAGAUAUUCAUGAACAAUUCGUGUAAAUCCUUGGCUCAGCUUGUUCUUCAGCUAGCGGCACUCAAAGUGCUUUUGUGAAGUAGAUUUAUUAGAUGCAAUAUAUCUUUGAUAUCUGUUUUCGGUAACAUUGAAAAUAUUUCAAAUCACAGUAAAUUUUUUAACAUAAAAAAUUUAAAUGGUAUAAUAUAAGACCUAUAGUAAAUACGUUUUUUAUACCUUUAAAUGACUCCUUUGUAUCUUUAUUUUAUUUGAUCAUUUUCUUAAACUAUAAUUCACAAGUUUUAAAUUUUAACAAAAAAUAUUAAAUAAAAUUUAACAAUAAUAAGAAAAUUAUAUAAAUCAUGGAUUGUGUUCUAUUAUCUAAAAAUUUGUGAAACCCUAAAGAAUAUAAACUAUUUUAGAAAAUAUAGAUAGAUAGAUAGAUAGAUAGAUAGAUUUUUACUUAGAAAAGUACAUUAAAAAUAUUAAUAUUUUUACAUCAUUCAUUUAAAAAAUAAAAUAAAUAUGAUAGUUUAAUAGAUAAAUAUAUAUAUAUAUAUAUAUAAUAUAUUUAAAUUUAUCUAAAAAAAUCACUAUGUUUCAUAUUAGCUAUUAGCUAAGCUAUUUUAUUAAAAUAAAUUAUAAUUUUAAUCUCAUUUUUGGUUUAAAACACAUAAUUAGAUAACAAAAAUUAAAAAAUAUUUAAAUCUUCUUCUAAUUUUCUAUAAUGACCGACAAAAAUUAAUAAAAUCUUACUUUAAUAAACCUUAAAAAAAUUCCUCAAAAUUUAUUGAUUAAAUAUAAAAUAAAUAAAAAAAUAAAUAAAUCUACCAAGUAAAUAAAUACUUUAAAAAUAGUAAUCUAAAAAUUCUAUUUAUUUUAUCAUGUCUUUUUUGAUAUUUUAAUAAUAAAAAUAAUAAUUAAUUUCAAAGACUUAUAAUAAUUACAUAAUUAAUAUCUACCUAUAAGAUUUUUAGAAUCCUAAAAAUAAUUCUUAUUUCUUAGAAAUACUAAAUCAUUUUUAAAAAUAAAAUUACCAUUUAUUUGUUCAAAAGAUCAAUAAGUGUAUCAUUUAAGUUAUAUUAAUAAAGAUUACAAAAUAUAUUUUUUAAUGCCUAUGAAAUUAUAUUCUAUUAAAAAAUAUUUUUAAUAUAUAUAUUAUUAUAAUUAGGUAAACUAAAAAUUAAAAAUAUUUAAAAGAAAAGAUUAGAACUAUUAAUGAUUAAUUUAUUGAAGUUACAAUAAUCUAUAAACAUUUUUUAAGAUUAUUUUUUACAAAAAAUAUUAGCAUAUCUACAAAUAUAUUUAUAUAUUUUCAAGUAAAAUUAUUUUUAAAAAUUUCAUCAAUGUACAUUUUUAAGUUGCUUAGUAUUGUUGACAUGUAUAUUGAUGGUGGAGUUGAAUAGAAGUAGAUAAAAAUAAAUUAGAAAGGUAAUAUCUUGUAUAUGAAAUAAUAGAAAAUAUUUUUAUAUGCAAAAUAGAGUUACAGGAAUUAUGUGGUGACAAUAACUUCUUUAAGGAGUUUCUUUUACUUUUAUAUAGCGACCAUAGAAGUAUUGCUAUAGAAAAUGUUUUUCAAGCAAACACUAAAUUCUUGUCUAGACUAAGAUUUUUUUUUAAAAAAAAUAUCUUAUAAAAAUUCAAAAUUAAAUAUAUUUAAAAUUCAAAUUAUUUAUUAAAAAUUUUAGAAAAAAUAUAUAUAGUAGCAUUUUAUCUCAAUUUAAUCUACUAUUAACAUAAUUUCUUUUUUUUUUUAAUAUGUAUAUUUAUAUUUUAACAUUUAGUUGAGAUUCUGAUAAAAUCUCUUAAUAUUUGAUUUUCUUCUUUAAUGUAUUUUACUUUUAUAAAAUUAUAAUACUUAUUUAAAUUAUCUCUUUUGUUUUAAAAUAAUAUCAAUAAGUAACAAAUAAAACAAUAUAAACAAAGAUUCAAAAAAUAAUAUAUAUAGACUCUUUUGUGUUGAAAAAUUUGAUCAUGAACAAUUUUAUCUUUAUCUUUAAUAACUUAAAUUUUAUUCAAUUAAAUCGAAAAAAUAUUUAUAUUAAAUAUAGUUUUAGUCUAAAUAAUUUAGUACUCAUUAAAAAUAGAAAUAAAUAAAAGAUACAUUUUGAACUAUUCAAAGAUAUUUUGACUAUAAUAUAAUAAUAUUUGUUCUUACAUAUGUUUUUAUUGUUUUGCAAUACUUGAUGAAUGAUAAAUUUUAUAAAAUUUUUAAAUAAUUUUUUGUAUGUUAUUUUUAAAAAAAUAUCUAUUUAAAAAAAACAAACUUAAAGAUGUGAAGUUAUGUCUUUAUAUAUAUAUAUAUAUCAAACAAUUUAAGUAGAAAUUUUGAAAUAUUUUGUUUUAGAUAAUGGUAUAGAAAUAAAUUUUAAGAAUAUAAAAACUAUAUUAAUUAAAAAAUAUAUAUUUAGGACUGUAUAAGAUAUUUAAGGCUUCUAAAAAUUUGCUAACUAUUAGUAGAUAUUUAUUAAUGAUUUUUUUUAAUUGCUCCACUUAUACUAAUAACUUUAAAUAAAAAAUACAAUAUAACGGCUAUAAAAACAAGAAUUUAAGGUUUGAUAAACAAAAUUUACAAGAACUACAAUUUUAAGCUAUUGUAAAUUUUUAAAGCCAUUAUUUAUAAAAGUAUUAAUAAUAAACUUUGCAUUCAAUACAGAACUAUAAUAAUUUAAUUCAUAUAAUAUAUAUUUUAUUCUUUAUUCUUUAUUUGAAAAAAUAUUUUAGUUUUUCAAAUUAAUAAAAAAAAAAUACAAGGAAAAACUCUUUGAAAUUAUAAAUUUAUUUUAAAGAUGGAAUUCUAAUCUAGAUAGAAUUUUUAGAACAUUCACAAUUUAUUUUAAUAAAAAUAAGCUUGAAUACUUAUGUCGAUGUGUAUCUUAAAUUUUUAUCAAAUAUAGUGAAGUACAAAUAUGACAAGAUUUUCAUUUAAUAUUAUAUAUUAUUUCCAAAACAUUAACUAUUGGAUGUCGUUUUUAGAUAUUUUUAUCUUACAUCAAAGGAAGAAAAUUCUACAUAUGAUUAUUAAAAAUCUAUUUUUUAGAAACUUCAAAAGGUAUAUACUAUAAAUUAUAUAUAUAUAUAUAUAUAUAUAUAUAUAUAUUAUUCAAUUUUUUUUAAUAAAUUUUAAUUAAAUUUUUAAAAAAACCUUGUUAUUUGUUAAAUUAGAAAUUAACUUCAAUAUAAUUUUAUUUUAUUUGACUCAAUUUAAUUUUAAAGAUAUUCUUCUCAAUUUUAUAGGACAUCUUUUUAUUCAAUAAAACUAAGUACAAUUACAUUUAUUUCGAGUACAACAUGAUUUUUCAAUAACAAGAGAGUUUAAGUUCAACAUGAUUUUGGAGUUUAUUUAAUAUUUUUGAUUGUAUAGAAUUUUAAAACCAUUUUCUAUUCUAAAUCAACUAUAGCCAUGUUUUAUUAUAGAUCAACCAACCUCAAAUUCUAACACCUAAAUUGUUGUUUUGGUCAGUUGUUUAGUUAAAAUGACACAUUUUGUACCUUAUUCUAAAACCAUUUUAGGUGAAUAAAUAACUAAGACAUUUUUUUAGAAAUAUCUUUUUAUAUUAUUAAUUCUUAAAUCGUAUUUUAUUUGAUCUAUAGACACCACUUUUUAAUUGAAGUUUUAGAACAUGUUUAAAAAUAUUCAAGAUGAAGAUUAAAUUAACAUUAAAUUUUAAUGAUUAUAUGAACUUAACAAAAAUAAAACACAAAAUAUAAAACAAAAAAAAAAUCCAUGAAUUAAGUAUUAGAGCAGUAUUUGCAAUAUACCAUCAAUUACCAUUAAGAAAAUUAAAUAAGUUUUUUGUCAAUUGCCAAAAAAAUUGUAAUGAGAUGAUUCAUUGAUCUACUUAACAAAGAUCAUUUUUUUAGCUAAUGGGUUAUAUUUAUAAAUAAGAAAUUUUAACUUCUUAAAAUUCAAUAAUUAUAUAGUAUAAGAUUUUGCAAAUAGAUUAUUAGAAUUCUCCACAACAAUAAACAUACAAUUGUAGAAACUGAGAAAUAACAAGAAACCAAUGCAUACAUUUUUACAAAGAAUUAAAUUUUAUUCAAAGAUAAUAAUAUAACGUGGUUUUUAUAGAGUUUUAGAAAUUUUAUUUAAAUUAUAUGAUUUUUAAAUUUAAUUAAUAAAAUUUUAUUUGAAAUUAAAAAAAUCUUAAUAAUUUAUCUAACUAAUUAUAUAUAAGAUUAAUCUAUUAUAUUUUAAAAUCUUAUGAAUUUAUAAGAACUAUUCAAAAAUUACAAGCUUAUAACCAAUAUUAAAUCUUAAAAUAAUAUUUUAAUAUAAAUAAAUCAUAAAAGAUAAAUAUUAUAUAUACAAAGAUAUUUUUUACUAUUUUCAUAAGUAAAAAUAUUAUCUCUUGUGAUAUAUUAUUUUGCACCUAAAUUUACAAAUAGAUAACUAUUUUUUUCUAAUUUUUAAUGUUUUGAGUUUUAUUAAAGAAAACAUUAUUAUUAAUAUUAAUUAAAAUAUUUUAUUGUAAGGAAAUUUUAAUUAAUUUUUAAUAUUAAAAAUAUCUUAAAAAUCCUUGGUAUAAAUGACACCUUGUGACAUUAAAUUGUUCUAUUUAGAAUUGAUUUUAGAGUUUUAUUGAAUUUUAAAAGAAAUCUUCAAAAUCUAUAAACAAGAGAUAUCAUAUAGAAUAAAUACUAAAGAAGAGAAGUUGACUCUUUUAAGAAAUGUAACUAGCUGAAAUCAUUUUUAAAGCAUAAAUUGAUUUAAUGUGGCCACCUAGAUAGUCUCCAUUAAGAGUGGUCAUAUCCAAUUCAUUGCGGUUCAUAAAAAGUUAAUGAUAAAAUUCAAAUAAAUUAUAUUUUAUUUAAUAAAAAAUUAUUUUCAAAAUUAUAAACAUGUCCAAAAUUUAUCUAGUUAAGCAAAAAGAAUGCAAAAUCUAAGAUUUAUAAGUAAAUGGACAAAAUAAAGUUUUUUAUCCUAAAAUAUAAUCAAUUUGGUAAAUCAAAAAAAUAUAAGAAAUAUGAAAAACAUAAGAAGUGUUUAUUACAUCAUAGAAAAUAUUUUUUUAUUUUUUUAAACCAUAGCUCAUUAAUAAUUCUAGCAAAACAAGGUAGCAUUCAUGUAGAGUGAUAAGAAUAAUUGAAUCUAAAUUCACUUUGGUCUGAUUAAAAAAUAAAUGUAAAAUAAUUACAUGUAUUAAAAAUAAUACCAUAAAUUAGAGAAGAUAGCUCUUAUAAUAGAGUAUAUUUUAUGAUAAUUAAAGUCAAUUAUACAUAAGUAUAUUAAAUAAAUAAAUAUAUAUAUAUAUAUAUAUAUAUAUAUAAGAUGAAUUUAGGUCUAAAGUUUAUUUUUAAUUAUAAUACUUGAGAUGGAUCUAAUAAUUUGUUUAUCUACUAUUAGCUUUAAUUACAAUCUUACUAUACUUUUGCAAACUUUUAUAUAAUCUCUUUUAUUCAUCAAGAGUGAUUAAAGUCAAACAAACUUUAAUACAAGCCUAUAAUUCUAGUAUUUCUUUUGAAAAGGUCUCAUAUUGGUUCAAAUAAUAUUUGAGAAUUGUCUACAGAAGUUUAAUUGGAUUGUGGUUAGAAGAUUAUGAUGAUCACUUGAUAAGGCAAAAUCCUUGUAAAUUCAACCACGAAGUUAUAAGAUUAGAUGUAUGCUUUGGAUCAUUCUUCUAUUAAAUAAACAUAUUUUUAAAAUUCAAAUUAUAUGGAUGAAAUGCACAAAUCAACUUGCAUUCUUAAAUCUCCUUGUGAAGGUAUCAACCCAUUAUUCUUUCAAUCAUGCACAUCAUGCCAUGGCCUUCCACAAUCAUACAAUCCCAUAUCAUUGCUCCUCCAUCUCCAAUCUUCACCAUCUCAUGUACUCCUUUGGUUCUCAAAGACUCUCUUACAAAUCCAACACAAGCUAUGACCAUUAGAGCAAAACCAAUUUACUUUUCUUUCAUCAAAGAGCACAACAUGUGCCCAUCAUCACAUGUCUAAUGUUCAUGAUGUUUUGCAAACUCAAAUCUUGACUUUAUAUGACUAGUUGUGAGCUUUGGAUUCUUUUGUUUAGCUUUAGAUUUUAAGCAUGCUUGAUAUAAUAUCCUUCACACAAUAGAAUGAGACACAAUAAUGUGGGCCUUCUCUUUCAUGUAGAUGCCUACAUUGGAUAUUGUCUCAAAGCCACCAAUAUAGAUUGAUUCCACACAUAACUCUAAUUUGUUACACAAAACCUUCUUGGUCCACUACCAAUACUAUAAUCUAUACCAUUCAACGCACGUAAAUAUUGCUUACAAAGCUAAGCAAUAAAAGUUUGGAACACUUGCAAAUCUCUGGCAAUCUUUUUAAUACUAUCACUACUCUUAAGCCUUGCUAAAGCAUCAACAUCUAGCUAUUGUCAUUCAACUUGAGUGGCAUACCUUAAUGAGCCAUUAAGCCAUUUUGUUAUAAUAUGCAUUGGUGGUGUAUAAGAUUAUACAACAAAAUAUAUUGCCAUCAUGUAGAUCAAAUCACCCACACUAAGUUUGAGAGUAUGGAUGCUCUUAUACACCACCAAUGCAUGCAUGGGACGUGGUUUCAUGUGAAAAAAAUAAAAAAAAUAAAAAAUAAAAUUCGGGGUCUAGUAUUGUGCACAAGAUAAUUCACUACAUGAAGCGACUUUGGUAAAAGAUGAAAAUACAAAGAAGCUUUCUCGUUGGUCAAAAAUGAACAAUCCAACACUGAUAGUAACAAUCAAAGUUGGUGAAAUUUGAGUAAAAAAAGACGCUUAGUAACACAUUAUUGCAAUAAAACCACACUUACCUCCAGUUCUAGACCUUUACUGGCAAUCUAUGUCCAACCAGAAAUAAACAACACUUUCUUAGCAAAUAGCUUCGUUGCUUUCAGCCCAAGUUGACUACAAAACAUAAGAAGUGCUAGAAAGUCAGCUUGUAUUUUAAUUAUAAUUGCAACACUUUUGGUAAUGGCAGUUCCAUACUACAACCGUAAGUCUGUCUCGUAAACUCAAGGCAACUGAAAGAAAGUCUUUCUUCAAGUAUGCUUCAUCACCUUCGACGUGGUCUCGCCAACAUAGGUGUAGAUGGACAUUCCACAGCUAAAUGUCCCCGACCUCCACAAUUAUUGCAGACCACAACCUGGAAAAACAGCAGAUCGAGACACAAUGUCAAGUCCGAUUUCCAUUCCAUUACAACAGUCCGGAUACUGAGCUGGAAGAAAUAAACCUUGCCUCAGUAAUGGCAGCAAGUAUUUUUCAAUUUUCACUAAAAAUAAAUUGGACAAUACUGUAGUUCGUGACUAAAAAUAAGGCAGGUGUCACUUGUGAUCAGAAAGACUAAUACGCUUUAGACAUACCUGCAAGCAUUCUUUGCUUUUGUGACCGCGUUGGUGACAAUUAUGACAAACCAUAUCAUUCGGAUUAAAAGUAGAAGUAGGUCCUCGAACAGGAGGGGCAGAGUCCAUCAGAGGACAAUCUCGUACAAUGUGACCCGGUUGGCUGCAGCCAUUGCACACGGGACUAUUGAGGCAAUCCCUUGCCAGAUGUCCAGCCUGGCGACAAUUGUUGCACGCCUUCUCGUUGGGACAAUCCACAGCAAGAUGUCCUGGUCUAUAACAGUUAUUGCAUAGCCACGCUUUAGGAAUCCCUCCUUCCUGCACUGCACAACCUUUGGCAAGAUGUCCGGGUUUCCCGCAGGUAUUGCAGAUUGGCUCGCUUCGACACUCAUUCGCGAUGUGUCCUGGCUUCUUACAGUUGCGGCAUAAAGGCUCCACUGGACAUGCAGCAGCAAUAUGCCUGAAACAAAAUAUUUAUAGAAGACAAUAUUCUUCAGAAUGUUAAUCUCAUGCUGCAACAACUGCAACACCAUCGAUUUCAACGUAUUAGCAUUCAUUUAAAACGAAACACUGGAACAAACUAUCUUACGGUGACAAUUCCUCUACCACUCCAUACAUGUACAACUAAGAGAUACCGUGACAAAUCCCAGUGUACAGCGGUACGCAUUCAUCAUUCCAUUAAGCAACUGAAAGUACAGAUCAAAACAUUUAUGAUAAAAAAAGAUUAUUUACACAUACCCUGAGGCUCCACAAUUAUUACACACUGCUGCAUUUGGGCAAUCGCGAGCAAAAUGUCCGGUGCGCCUACAGUUGUUACACAAUUCUGGAGCUGCCCCCCUGUAAGGAAACAAUAUAGUAUCAAAACUCUUGAUCCGAAUAGUAUGAUCAUAACCUAAUCUAAAGCCUAACAACGCAUUUGUCACAUCACACGAACCAUACGAGCAUAAACUACCAUUCCAAGAACUGAGAAUGAGUUGAAAAAACAUGGAGACUUUCUCACUCUAAAAUCCUUCAAAUAAACAUAAAUAUAUAAAGAAGAAGAUGGUUUUAAGCUGAACCACAUCCACUCCUAAUUGAGUUCCCCCAGUGCAGCCUGUGGCCCUCGCCAUGUUCAAAGUGAGAAGCAUGGCCCGCAAUCCUCAAAUUGUCGACUAUAGAUACCGCGAAGCAAUAAGACAUGGGAUGUCUGCGUAAAUCCCGUGAAUUAACUGCUGCGCGGAACUCGGAUGGGUUUUGUUUUAUUUUAAAAAGGCCACUACCCAUCGAACCACCACCACCACCACCACCAACUACUUUUCCCAAAAGUUUAACAAACUUCAACACUUCAGUCAUGUCACACCACACUCCACUUCCACCUCAACAUUCACACAACCCCGCUUCAACUACUCCACAACCAUUUCUCUACUUCACCAUCUCAUCAUACAAAAUAUCCCCUUCUUAUCUCCACACUCUAUCACGCCCUUCACACCCUUCACACCCUUCACACCCUUCAUCCGGUACCUCUGCCCACAUUCCCACACAACCCAAGUGACAACAACCCUCCAGUUCUCCCCCACAUGACAUUCCUCCAACACAACCCAAAACUUCACUUUCCAUCCUUCAGACCAAUCCAAUGUAUAAUAAUCCAUCCGUUCUCUCCAAAAUGCCAUUCGUGCAACGCCAACCAAACCUUCUGUCUUCAAACUUCAUAUCAAGCCCCGCAACAUUUCUGUCCUUUUCCAAACCAGACACUUCGAGUUUUCCAGGAAGUCCACAACGUUUCUUCGCAAAAUGGCCCAUGUCUGCGGUUUGAACAAGAAGACGAAGUUGAAGCAGCGCGAAAGUAAAUGCAUCAC